AGAGUUUGGUUGUAGCUGGUCCCUAAUUAACUUGGGGGCAUGUGCACACCUUUCUCUUUCAUCCCAUACACACCUGUGCACCUGUGAGACAGAUGUUUUCUAGGGGGGAAAGGAACUUUAUUGGACCUACUCCUCUUGGAACUUCUGUCUACUUAAUCUAUAUAAACUCAAUUUAUUUUAAAAUGAAUGUAAUGGAUGUAACACAUCUAAUACUAAGUUUCAACAACGGAUCUCUUGGCUCUCGCAUCGAUGAAGAACGCAGCGAAAUGCGAUAAGUAAUGUGAAUUGCAGAAUUCAGUGAAUCAUCGAAUCUUUGAACGCACCUUGCGCUCCUUGGUAUUCCUUGGAGCAUGCCUGUUUGAGUAUCAUGAAAUCUUCAAAGUCAAACCUUUUGUUAACUCAAUUGGUUCUGCUUUGGUAUUGGAGGUCUAUUGCAGCUUCACACCUGCUCCUCUUUGUGCAUUAGCUGGAUCUCAGUGUUAUGCUUGGUUCCACUCAGCGUGAUAAGUUAUCUAUCGCUGAGGACACCCUGUUAAAAAGGGGUGGCCAAGGUAAAUGCAGAUGAACCGCUUCUAACAGUCCAUUCACUUGGACAAAUAUUAAUUUUAUGAUCUGAUCUCAAAUC
rnacentral:misc_RNA from 1 species